rnacentral:lncRNA from 1 species
UGGGACCCCUCCUCAAACUGGGACCCCUCCCCAAAAUGGGACCCCUCCCCAAAAUGGGAGACCCCUCCCCAAAAUGGGACCCCCCUUGGAAUGAGACCCCUCCCCAAAACUGAGACCCCUCCCCAUUGGGGUUGGGGGUCCCAGAUUCGGGGGGGGUGCAGCCCCCUCCCCACUGGGUUGGGGGUCCCAGAUUUGGGGGGGUGCAGCCCCCUCCCCACUGGGUUGGGGGUCCCAGAUUUGGGGUGCAGCCCCCUCCCCACUGGUCUGGGGGUCUCCAUGACCCAAGGGGGGUGCAGCCCCCUCCCCACUGGGUUGGGGGUCCCAGAUUUGGGGGGGUGCAGCCCCCUCCUCACUGUGUUGGGGGUCCGGGAUUUGGGGUGCAGCCCCCUCCCCAAUGGGUUGGGAUCUCCAGGACCUGGAUUGGGGGUGCAGCCCCCUCCCCACUGGUCUGGGGGUCCCCAGGACCAGGAUUUGGGGUGCAGCCCCCUCCCCACUUUGUUAGCGGUCCAGGAUUUGGGGUGCAGCCCCCUCCCCACUGGUCUGGGGGUCCCCAGGACCAGGGGGGGGUGCAGCCCCCUCCCCAUUGGGGUUGGGGGUCCGGGAUUGGGGCUGCAGCCCCCUCCCCAUUGGGGUUGGGGGUCCCAGAUUUGGGGUGCAGCCCCCUCCCCACUGGUCUGGGGGUCCCCAGGCCCUGGAUUGGGGGUGCAGCCCCCUCCCCACUGUGUUGGGGGUCCGGGAUUUGGGGUGCAGCCCCCUCCCCACUGGUCUGGGGGUCUCCAGGCCCUGGAUUGGGGGUGCAGCCCCCUCCCCACUGGGCUGGGGGUCUCCAUGACCCAAGGGGGGUGCAGCCCCCUCCCCACUGGGUUGGGGGUCCCAGAUUUGGGGGGGUGCAGCCCCCUCCCCACUGGGUUGGGGGUCCAGGAUUUGGGGUGCAGCCCCCUCCCCACUGGGUUGGGGGUCCAGGAUUUGGGGUGCAGCCCCCUCCCCACUGGUCUGGGGGUCCCCAGGCCCUGGAUUUGGGGUGCAGCCCCCUCCCCACUUUGUUAGGGGUCUGGGAUUUGGGGUGCAGCCCCCUCCCCACUGGUCUGGGGGUCUCCAGGACCCAAGGGGGGUGCAGCCCCCUCCCCACUGGUCUGGGGGUCCCCAGGCCCUGGAUUGGGGGUGCAGCCCCCUCCCCAGUGACGCCCCCUCCCCAGAUGGACGCCGAUUUCGUCCCCGAGGGUCCCCCCGACC